rnacentral:misc_RNA from 1 species
UGCAUGGAACGAGAUAGCGCGAAACACAAGACAGGAUCCAAGUUUACUUCCGUCAUUGCGCAGAUUUUACUUUCGUUUCAAUAUAUUUCCGUGUUUCCAGGAGAGGAUUUAUGGUCACUUCUACGCAAAGCGUAUGUUAUUGAGCUCCAGAUAGGCUGAAACCAGGGAUACAGACGCAAAGAUGUCCAAGCCAACCAUGCCAGAGAAUGUAGAGACUGAUGCCUCUGCUGAGAUGCCAGGAGCCUGUGGAGGAACCAGCAGCAGCAGCAGCAGCAGCGGCAACACCAACGCAUACAUCAACUACACAGGUCCUGAUGGCACCAAGUUCAAUGUCCGAACAACAGGCAAGGCCCCCAACCUGCAGAUUGGCUACAACAACGUCAUGCAUGUCACAGAGAACUCCCUUCUCAAUCCAAAAAGACCCAGGUUGCGACCGAUGAUAGAGCCAAAACUACCUUUAGUCAAAUCAUCAGAGGUCCCUGGCCCCGGUGCAAUGGAAGUUAUUGCAUGUAAUAUCGGAAAGGAUUGGAAAUAUCUAGGACGAGCACUAGGACUGACAGACGGAGAGCUGGACAAUAUUCGAAUUGACUACUAUCCUGAGGGUCAGUACGAGAUCUGCUACCAGACGGUCCGCAAGUGGAAGGAACAAGCAUUUCCAACAGAGCUUCGCCGACUUGCAAAAUGCUGUGCCAAAAUUGGCCGUGGUGAUGUCGCUGACAAGCUCGCAAAAAUGAAGCAGGAGGGAAACUCCUGAGAAAAAUUGUUCUUGAAAUACUGACGUGCUUUUUCUGAACAUUUUUUGUCCAAGGCAGAUGUUCAUCUGUGAUAUUUUAAGCCACCCAAUUUCAUUACAUCAGAUCUUCAUGCUUGCUACCACUGCACAUAGAUCUGGGGACAUCCCAUUACAGGUCACAUCAGAACCACCUUCACAAAUCUUUGAUCGACCAAUGAAAUGACAAACAGGAAGUCAACAUAAGCCAAUCAAGAGGCAUUUUUCUCAUGUUUUACUGCAAUAGUUUCAAAAUGGCAACUUCCAUUCCAGACUAAACUUUGAUAACUGAACCAAAAACAAUUAUGGGAUGUCUAAAAGAUGGCUGAGGUCCUGUGACUGUGACCUUGGCCUCUGUGUAGCAGCUGUGAGCACUAAGAUCUGGUGUUAAAGGAAUUGUAUGCCACCUUUUGUGGAGUCAACUAACUCAAAGUUGGGUUUUGAUGAUUUGAUAAACUCUCUAAAUCCCAGGACUGGCAAUCAUGGUUAUUGAAAAUAACAAACUUUGAGUUUGACAAGUAUAUUUGGAGGGUUUCUUGGCCUUUGUUAUUUUCAGUGUUCACCGCACACAGAAUAUUAUAUAUUUUACCUUGUACUGACUCAUUCUGAUUGCUUAUCUCAUCUCAUUCCGAAAAGGUAGUUGAAACUUCUGUGCUGUGUUCCCACGGACAGAGAAAAAUAAAAAUAUCUCACCCAAACGCAACCCUCAGCCUCAGUCCCAACCUCCACAAAGUCCACAUCGUUGGCCCCAGAGGAUUCUACAAAGAUGUCCACCAAGGAGGCCACGAAGUCGACUUCGAAGUCACAGAAGCAAGCUCCCUGUUCGCAGCCGUCAACCUCCAUGCGGCCUCCAUCACUCGUUAACUUUUCACAGGUUUCAGGCAUACAGACCUGCACCCAGGACCAGGCCUUCACCCAGCCUCAGACCUUCACUCAACCCCUGCCAUUCACGCAGGCUGCAGUGUUUACACAGGCACAGCCUCCUACGUUCCCAGCUUUAAUCGCCAAGGUACCAUGCCUCCCCUCAUCCAACGAUUUCGUAGCUAGUUUUACUGAGCAAAUGAUACUUGCCGUGCAGCAACAACACACUCUCACUCUCAACAAACCACCUACACCGUCUAAUUAUUCCAACCAGAUUCAAUAAUCAAAUAAAGGCCUUCAUCGCCCCAGUUCCAGACCUUCAAACCUUGGGCCAACGAUGCACUGGCCAUGUUGUGGGAAGGACUUCAUGUUUAUGUGUUUCCCCCACCAGCACUGUUACCAUCAGUCCUACAGAAGGUCAGACAUACAAAGUGCCUUCUACUGAUUUUGGUCGCAUCUUACUGGCCAGCAAGAGUCCAGAACUAAAACUUCAUCAAACCGACUUCAUCCUCACUCUAGCAGGUUCAUCCAAGCUUUACGUUUGAGCAUAUCACAAACAACCUCACCAGGCAAGAAUACUUAAUCAGAGCUGCUGCAGCUGUCUCCCUAGCUCUUUGUAGAUCUACUAGAAAGCUAUAUGAUGACAAAUGGAAGAGCUUCGACCAAUUUGCAAGAAGUAAAGGAUUCUCAGGAGUUGAAGCCACUUCACCUCAAGUUGCAGAACCCAAAAUCUCAAGGGUUCAACGCUGGGCGUAUCAGCUCUGUUCUUACCAUGUAUAACGGUAUCAAAAUGACUAAAGUCCAUCAACUGAUCACUCUACUCCAUUCUUACAGACUAGAGGAUCAACUGAAGAACUGCCAGAAUGUCAGGUAUCCUUGCCAUAGAUUUCAGCAGCACUCGAUUCAACAAUGGCAACAACACAUCAGCCCAUCUUGGUCUCCGAUAGGAUUUUAUCACCAAGAAUCAACUGCCAGGUCAGCCAGGCAGACAGUUUCACAUUCUUCCAUUUAUCAUCUAUACGUAGAUUAGGCCGGUUAGGGUAACGGAAAAGAGAGUGACGAGUGUAUUGGCUUGGUCACAUGCUUCUGGUGUGGAUUCGGGGAUGAGGAGUGCGUUUGGGUGAGAUGUUUUUCUCUGUUCUGGGGAAGACAACACAGGAGUUUCCACUACCUUCUCUGAAUCAGAUGAAAUAAGCAAUGAGUACGAGUCAGGAUAAGUAUAAAAGAUAUAUAUAUUUACCCUAAAAAAUACAUAUUUCUAAAAUGAUACUGUGUAUCAUCAAUUGUUUUAUGUGAAAUGCCACAUUCAAAUAGAUAAUCACACUUCCUUAGAGAAAGUCCAUUGAAAGAAAUGAUUUAAUUGGAUGAUGAUAGUUAUUCUUAUUUGGAAGCAUGUUUGUGGUCUGACCUUAAAGUAACAUCACAGAAAGAAGAUUGGUUAUGUACUGAAAGAAUUUUCUGUUCAGAUAUGUAUAUGUAUUUCCCCUCGUCUCUCGAAUCUUAAAGUAUUGUUAAUAUAAGUUUUAACAUGUGUUUCGUUUAACAUCCAUCUUCCCGUGGCAAAGGGCGCUAACUGACUAUAAAAGUUGAACUAGACUGUUAUUCAUUUUGUGAAGGAGAUUGUAGUGUAGAAAUGGAACCCAUCAACCUGUGCUUACGGUGGGUGACAACCAAGUGGGUUAGGUGGUCUCAUUCACUGACUUGGUUGAUUCAUUGUCAUUGCAUCCUGACCACUUUGGAAAUUGCUCAUAAUACCAGUCACUAGUUUGUCUGGUCAAGACAUGGAUGAUUUCCUAGAGAUGGAAGUAUGCUUACUGUGGCACUAAACAUCACUUACUUGCUCAUGUCAGAGUCAGAGUUUUUUACAUGGGAUCGGAGUAAUGCCCCUUGGCCAUGCCAGGAUUCACUGGUUGUUGGUUCAGUUCCAAGAUUACAUCAGCGUCACAGGGACUGUGAUUCUCAUAAGAACUUUGUAUCACAGGGUUCUUGCUUGCCGUAAAAGGCGACUAUGCUUGUGGUAAGAGGCGACUAAGGGGAUCAGGUGGUCAGGCUCUCUGACUUGGUUGAUGCAUAUCAUCGAUCCCAUUUGCAUGGAUCGAUGCUCAUGAU